rnacentral:rRNA from 1 species
UACGGAGGAUGCAAGCGUUAUCCGGAAUUAUUGGGCGUAAAGCGUCCGCAGGUGGCAAUGUAAGUCUGCUGUCAAAGCGUCUGGCUCAACCAGAUAAAGGCAGUGGAAACUACAUAGCUAGAGUAAGGUAGGGGUAGAGGGAAUUCCUGGUGUAGCGGUGAAAUGCGUAGAGAUUGGGAAGAACACCGGUGGCGAAAGCGCUCUGCUAGGACAAUACUGACACUGAGGGACGAAAGCUAGGGGAGCGAAUGGG